UACGUAGGUGGCAAGCGUUGUCCGGAAUUAUUGGGCGUAAAGCGCGCGCAGGCGGCCUCCUAAGUCCGAUGUGAAAGCCCACGGCUCAACCGUGGAGGGUCAUUGGAAACUGGGGGACUUGAGUGCAGGAGAGAAGAGUGGAAUUCCACGUGUAGCGGUGAAGUGCGUAGAGAUGUGGAGGAACACCAGUGGCGAAGGCGACUCUUUGGCCUGUAACUGACGCUGAGGCGCGAAAGCGUGGGGAGCAAACAGG
rnacentral:rRNA from 1 species